rnacentral:rRNA from 1 species
UACAGGGGGUGCAAACGUUGCUCGGAAUUAUUGGGCGUAAAGCGCGCGUAGGCGGCUACUUAAGUCGGAUGUGAAAGCCCUUGGCUCAACUGAGGAAGUGCACCCGAAACUGAGUGGCUUGAGUACUAAAGAGGGUCGCGGAAUUCCCGGUGUAGAGGUGAAAUUCGUAGAUAUCAGGAAGAACACCCGUGGCGAAGGCGGUUCUCUGGAACGCAACUGACGCUGAGACGCGAAAGCGUGGGGAGCAAACAGG